UACGUAGGGUACAAGCGUUGUCCGGAAUUAUUGGGCGUAAAGAGCUUGUAGGCGGUUUGUCGCGUCUGCUGUGAAAUUUCGGGGCUCAACCCCGAACUUGCAGUGGGUACGGGCAGACUAGAGUGUGGUAGGGGAGACUGGAAUUCCUGGUGUAGCGGUGAAAUGCGCAGAUAUCAGGAGGAACACCGAUGGCGAAGGCAGGUCUCUGGGCCACUACUGACGCUGAGGAGCGAAAGCAUGGGGAGCGAACAGG
rnacentral:rRNA from 1 species